rnacentral:rRNA from 1 species
UACGUAGGGUGCAAGCGUUAAUCGGAAUUACUGGGCGUAAAGCGUGCGCAGGCGGUUUUGUAAGUCUGUCGUGAAAAUCCCCCGGGCUCAACCUGGGAAUUGCGAUGGAGACUGCAAGGCUAGAAUCUGGCAGAGGGGGGUAGAAUUCCACGUGUAGCAGUGAAAUGCGUAGAGAUGUGGAGGAACACCGAUGGCGAAGGCAGCCCCCUGGGUCAAGACUGACGCUCAUGCACGAAAGCGUGGGGAGCAAACAGG